GAAGGUUAGCGGCGCCCGGGUGAGUAACACGUGGGCAACCUGCCCUAUAGUUUGGGAUAACUCCGGGAAACCGGGGCUAAUACCGGAUAAUACAAUUUAGCUCCUGUUAGAUUGUUGAAAGAUGGUUUCGGCUAUCGCUAUAGGAUGGGCCCGCGGCGCAUUAGCUAGUUGGUAAGGUAACGGCUUACCAAGGCGACGAUGCGUAGCCGACCUGAGAGGGUGAUCGGCCACACUGGGACUGAGACACGGCCCAGACUCCUACGGGAGGCAGCAGUAGGGAAUCUUCCACAAUGGACGAAAGUCUGAUGGAGCAACGCCGCGUGAGUGAAGAAGGUUUUCGGAUCGUAAAACUCUGUUGUAAGGGAAGAAUAAGUACAGUAGUAACUGGCUGUACCUUGACGGUACCUUAUUAGAAAGCCACGGCUAACUACGUGCCAGCAGCCGCGGUAAUACGUAGGUGGCAAGCGUUGUCCGGAAUUAUUGGGGCGUAAAGCGCGCGCAGGCGGGUCCUUUAAAGUCUGAUGUGAAAGCCCCUCGGCUCAACCGAGGGAGGGUCAUUGGAAACUGGGAGGACUUGAGUGCAGAAGAGGAAAGUGGAAAUUCCAAGUGUAGCGGUGAAAUGCGGUAGAGAUUUGGGAGGGAACACCAGUGCCGAAGGCGACUUUUCUGGUUCUGUAAACUGACGCUUGAGGCGCGAAAGCGUGGGGAGCAAAACAGGAUUUAGAUUCCCCUGGUAUUCCAGCCCAUAAAACGAAUGAGUGCCAAGUGUUA
rnacentral:rRNA from 1 species